rnacentral:lncRNA from 1 species
GUGCAUGCUUUUCUCUCCAUUUCAACUUAGUUAAAUAAAAAAGAGAAGCAAAAAUUGAAGAAGAGGAGUGAGUCUUCUUCGUGGAUUCUCUCUCAUUUCUUCAUAUAGCUCACUCCAAAACGCACUCUCACAAACAUCAUAAACCACUUGAAGCAUGAAUAAAUAGAACAAAAAAUGAAAAAUAUUACUUCAUUCACAUCAUUAAAACAGCCUUCAAAUACACCACACAAAACAACAAUUAUUCAUCAUCUUCAAAACUCUCACCAUCCUCUUUCAUUCAACUACCACCUCAAUAACAACCGCUUUUUUACCGUCGUGAAAAUCUCUUCCAACCACCACCAAACAUGACUUCGACUCUACCAGAACUAUAGGUCAAUAAUCCGCCGCGAACC